GGGCUCGUAGUCUAAUGGUAAAACUCCUGGAUGGCAUUCAGGUAAUAGGGGUUCGAUUCCCCUCGGGUCCACAA
rnacentral:tRNA from 1 species